AAAAUCCUUAGUUUUAUGCACUAUAUUUGGUUUAACAAUUAAAAUAGAUCGCUUCUGAUUCUGGUCCAGUUCCAUUAUCUGACCUCAGCACCAGAAGUAGCAGCAAUAUCUAAGCUGGAAGUUUAAACUUAAAAAUAUUUUUAGUAAAACUUCGCUAGAUAAUGUCAAGGAGAUAUUCUUCCUGUGUAGUCAGUGAAAAUUAUCCCCAGAAUAAACCCUUCAGCAUUAUUAGCAAAGUUUAUGGAAGGAAAUAUAGCUUAUCCUUAUAACUUACUAGAACCCAUCCAAGAAAGCAGCAUCACGCCAAAUUAUGCAAAUCAGAUUUUUCUCCCUCUCCAACCUGCUAUUCUUUAUCUUGUCUGUAUUUAAAUAUUCCCUCCUUUUGACUUACUAUUUUCUGAAAGCUGAAAGCUAUAGAGUUUCAUUGCUACUCUUCCUACACGCUUUAAAAAAGACAUAAGGAUUGAAUCUAGAAGGGUAGUUCAUCUGUUUUAAUGUAUUUUCUGUAACAAUACACACAUUUCUUACUGCUAUACAAUGGUUUAACCAUUUACUUGAGCUGCUACAUCUUUUGUAAGGCAAGACAUGCUAUUAGCAGCAUGUGUCCUUGAAUAAUGCAUUUUACUUUAAAAACUCAUUUGAAAGAAUAUACAAGCUUAGUAUUAAAUGUGGUGAGUUUCUGUGCAUUGUGAUUGCUGUAAAAAUUUGUUUCCUUUUGUCCUGGUCUUGCUCAGGUUGAGAUUCACAGCUCCUGCUCUGUGCAGGGGGGUCCUCGCCCAGGGGCGCACAGAAGCCGCAGCAUGCAGUAGGACGGGUCAGCCAGAGGUGGACCAUAGUUUUUAACAGAGUUAUGAAGGCAGAGGGGGGUUAGAGUUUCGCCAGUAAGUGCUGAGAGACCAUAUCAGGCACAGCAUUUCAGGAACACAUAAGUAUUUCCAUGCACAUGAGAAAGUCAUGAAGGCAGAAAACUUUGCAGAUGGGGAUGCCGUAGAGCUCAAGGGGAGAUAAGGAGGAAUCAGACAGAGCUCCCACCAUCAGACACCAUGGCUUAAAACCACUACAACAACUUUCCUUUCUGCAGCGAGCAAAGCUUUUACUUCUAAUCCUCCAGGGCUCCUAGCUAGAUGUGGUGGCAGCUGUUCACGCCAUGAUGCGGUGACAGAAGAAUUUUAAAUAUGACGUUUUUGAAUCUGGAAAAAGCCUCCAUUCUUCAAGUAGCUUCCCUUUCUGGCCACCUUAGGCAGUUGGUUGCUGCACAGUUUGCACAGCUGUGAAGGUCUCCAUUUUAGAUACAUUUUAGACAGCUACUGAGUCAGAGUGAGUAGAAAUGGAUAAAGCAAUGAAUCUUGAAUAAAACAUAUAAAGAUAAACUUAGGUUUCUACAUUGGAUAUAUCCUUACACUGGCACUGUGACUUAAAUAUCACUAAAGCUGAUAGGCAUAAAUGCUACCCUCAUCUUGGUGCAUGAGAGAAGUACAAACUAGGCUCAUCCUCUAGCAAGCAUCAUGUACAAGAAGAAAACUCGCGUUGACAAGCCACUUUGUGUCACAUAUUGCCUAAAACUGGCAUCUGUGGAAAACAUGUACAGACUCACAGGGAAGAAAGUCAUCAUUGGGAAAAAAAAGAAAAGAAAAAAAACUCUUCUGAGCUCAAUCUUCUAGUUCACAAACAACCCCUCAGUCUUUCAAACUCUCCAUCCAAAAAAAAAAAUAGAUAAAAAUAGAGUGGAGCACUGGCAGAUCUCACCAGAAUCAUAAGCAUCUUCUGAACAAUCUGA